ACUCCAACAAUGUCCUAUGUUACAAACCAACUCUUCUUUCUAUUAUUCUUAUUAUUAUUCUCGAACGCGAGUACGAACCCGUCAACGCCAUUCGGGUCGAGCCAUGAUUGUUCGGGCGCGUUGUUUGGGUUCAGCGAAUGCUUGGAGUUUGUGGAGGGCGGGGCGAACGGGGCCGAAUCGGGAUUGCUGCUCUGGGCUCGGUCACGUGCUGAGCCGGAGCGUCACGUGCCUCUGCGAGGCCAUACGAGAAGGGGCAAGGCUAGGCGUACCCGUGAACGUCACCAAAGCUCUCGCUUUGCCCUCGCUUUGUGGGCUCUCCUACACACUAAUAGUCCCCUGUUACAAAAGUAAGAGGUGUAUUUUUUUUAUGGUCCAAUUUCAUAUAUACAAAUUGCUUUCAUAAGAAAAAAUAAGUAAAAUAAGAUUUCUUCGUACUCUUUUUUUUUUCAUUUUUUUGGUGCAUAAGAAUGUAAGGACUGAGAGUUUUCCAAUGCAACUAAACUCUCUGUUGAUGAUGUUUAUGUGUGUAAUUUAAUCACAUAAACACUCGUCAAUUUUCAGGAGAAAUUGAGAUAGAACGGAGAAGUUACGCGAUCUCCAAGUUUCACUUAAAGUGAAUAGUAACUCGGUUUUCCGGAGAAGCCAUGAUGUGAAGUUGGCUUCAGGCUUGUAUCGGACUCCGUUCAUAGCAAUCCAAUAGCUCGUUUCGACCGGUUCAGCUAUUCUGGAACCAAUGGCACUGACGGAUUUCAGAUCUGACGCACGACUUUCGAGAAAAAGGGAUUUUAUCGAAAAGAGGGUUUUCGCUCUUUGCUGUUCUUGCAUAUUGAGACUCCUCGUACUCUGUGUUUGUGACCUAGAGUAAGGUGAGGGAUGUUACAUGUACCUACUAGUGGUAGGAGAUUCAAAUUUAAAUUUGAAUCUAGGAUUUAGUGGGAUUACACAUUGGUAUAUGUGUGUGGUUUUUGGAAAUUGGAGAGCGGACGGGUUUCGUCGCGAAUCCGUGACCGAUUGAUGCGAACCAAAUCGUAGGUUUAUUGUCUCCGUUGUGCUGAUCGCACUAGUGCGAUCCGUUCGCAAAUCUGACAGACGGAUCUGUGGAUAUCGUACGUUGUUCGAGGAGGGGUCUUAGAUGGCAAAUUGGUAUUUUUGCGAAAGGUGCGACAUUUUAUGUACCGUUUCGCGUGAGAUCGCAUAUGGGGGUAUAUGCGCGCGUUUUACUCAUGCUGUGGUGGACCCAGUCCGAAAUUCUGAUUUUUGGUGGACUUAUUUGCAAUUCUGCACCAAGUAUUUAUGGUUGCAUUAGGGUUUUCCACUUGAAGCUCUAACCUAGCCCUAGCCACACCCCCCAGCCACCUUCACCCUGCUCCCCUGCCCUAGUCGCGUGCCUUCCGGUCGCCGCUGACCAAGUCCGGCCGGUCGGCCGCCACCACAUCACCAUUUUAUUCUCUCUCUCUCUCUCUCUCUCUCUCUCUCUCUCUCUCUCUCGGGUUGAGAGGAGGCCCGAGACUGGGUUGCCUCCAAGCUCUGCCCCAGCGUCGCCCUGACCCCAUCGGAGCUUCCCCUGGCCGGUCGCUGCCGCCUGCCGCCGUCGCCUGCGCCGCCGCUGCUAGUUCUGCAGCCUGCGGCCACCCCAGCUCGAGCUCAGGCUAAGGCUUGCGUGCGGCCUCCCCCUUGCGUCGCCGUCGCCCCGGGCCAACCCUGAGGCACCUCCUCGACCUUGGGUAGUCGACCGCCGCCGCCUCGAGUCGCCCGGAGCGCCGCCGGGGCUGCACCAACCGCCUGCUGCCUUCCAGACCGAGCCCGGGCUGAGGCAGGUCUGCGACCUCUUCCCCGCGUCACCACCACCUUGGGCCACCCCGUGGCACCUCCUCCGACCUCGGGUUGUCGGUCUCCGCCUCCCCGAGCCGUCCCAAGCGCCGCCGCCGCGCUGCAGCCGCCUGGCGGGUUCCCUGGGCAAGCUCGGUCCGAGCCGAGCUCGCAAUUCCUUCCCUGCGUCGCCGCCGCUCGGGGCCGCACCCGAGGUACUCCUCCGGCCUCUGGGGACCUGCCGCCGUCGUCCCUGAGCGCCCCGGACGCCGCCGUGGCCGCAACUGCCCUCGGAACCCAAGCCGGAUCUUGUGCGGGCUUGGUUCUCUCCUCCGCCGCCGCCGCCGCUUCUAGCCGCCACUUGAGGUGAGCACCGUAUUCCUCACCUCUCCCGCACCCAUCCCUGGCCCCUGUGCGCGCCUCCAUGCCGCCGAAAGCCGGCCGGAGCAAGCUUGCUCCGGCCAAGCCCGAAAUAGGGUUUUUAGGGAGUGGGUUGCCGUUUUGUGCUUUCCAGGGCUUCUCGACCUCUACGGAAGGGAGCACGAUGAUUGCAACUCAUCGCUGAUCACCGUGCUCACCUUGGUUUCUAUCGGAAAGGCCCCGAUCCAUUGUUUCGGUGAUGUUGCGCCGUUUGAGCCUUUUUGACUACUGUUUUUGGUUUGCGUGCAUUGUUCCGGCGAUCCGAGGCUGUCCUGAUGCCUCCGGAGGUGAGCAUGGUGAUUCUUGGUCAGUACCGAUCACAAUGCUCACCUUACUUUGGAUCAAGGAUGUCGUAUAGUCCUGUUUGGCACAGUUUUCCCCGACUUCGCGCUGUUUCGCUGAUAUUCGCGUCGCUCGUGCGCGUGCCACAGUGGCCGGCAGUGCUCCGAAAGGUGAGCACGGCCUCCGGCACGUCAAAACCUGUCAGUGGGUAUCUUGGCUUGGCUGAUCGACCACUGGUUUGCGUGGACGGACCAUAAAAGCGCCGAAAUCGCAUGAAAUAAUGCGAUUUCGGGUAAUCGGGAGGGCUUUUAUGUAUUUUAGGUUGUUGCGGUUGUUGUUGGCAGCAUGGAUGAGUUGUGGGUGACCUCUGGACUGAUUGUCCAUGGCCCUGGACCUUUGCGAAGAUCGAAAAUGCAUUUUCGGAGCAUUUUUCGGCGAAAUCCGCUGAUAGAACGCGUUUUCGAUUCGGAAUUCUUUCGACGGUACUUGGGGAUCAUUUGUUUCGUCGCUGACCCUUGUUGGCUGGUCGCCCGCGUCGUUUUGUGGGUUUGGAAAUGACAGGUGAGCGACGGUGAAGUUCCAAUGCGGUUUUCGGGACUUCCGGUUUGUUCGGUAAUCGGUUUUGGGAAACCGAUUAUCGUGGGUUUAUUUGUGGGGUUACGCUUUUAGGGUUUCUUAGUUGUGGGUUAGACACUAACCCAGUGGACCCUCCAUAGGUCCUGUUGACGUACUUUUGUAGUCAGGAGACAGGCGCGACAGUUAUACAGGUGGGUACUUCGAUCCGACGUCGGUACAGUGGUGCACGUUCGGUGAUGGUUUCUUACCUUUGCCCUCUUACUAUUAUCUGUGUGCUUAUACUAUAUGUUGAGCCUAGCAUCCACGUUGUUUGGUUAUACUCUACUCAGAUAUUUCCAUGCUUAGUAUCAUGUGUAGGAGUAUAGUCUAUCUGUAUUUGAUAUCAUGUUUUCUUGUUGCUCUACUUGCUUGUUUUACAUAUCUUAUAUCAUGUUUAUAGUAGAGCGGUUCCGUGACCAUCUGUGAAAUUAGUGACGUAGUCGGUCGAUUUUAGUAUCCCGUAAUUGUGACCUACUCGAUCAGUUCCUUGAUUUCUAUUAUUCGAUGACCUAUACGGUUGGUAUACCCUAAGGGGUGGGAUUGUCGGCUAGUUGUCGACGAAUGAUUAUAGUUUUCACAGAUCCGUCAUUAGACCCGUUGUGACCUAGUCUGUUCGUUCUGGAUUCUUGCCGUUUGAUGACCCACGAGGUCGGUGUACCCUGAGGGGUAGGAUUGUCAGCUAGUGGCUGACGGCAGUUCCAGAUUAUAGUGAUACAUAUCCUAUACUUGUGACAUGAUUGGUCGAGUUCAUAUCCUACACUUGUGACAUUAUUGGUCGAGUUUCAUAUCCUAUACUUGUGACAUGAUUGGUCGAGCUUCAUAUCCUAUAUUUAUGACCUGGUUGGUCGAGUUUCAUACGCUAUACUUGUUACCUGGUUGGUCGAUUUGGUUACAUGAUACCCAUACGGUCGAUGGGCCCUGGGGGGCAGGAUUGUCGGCUGGUUGCCGACGGUUGAUCAUUGAGCAUAUUGCAUUGAUCGCCCGAUACUCGUCGCAUUUCACGAACACUGGCGGUCUGAUCCACCGCAAGGAGUGUUCUUUUCCGGAAAAGUGGUUGAAUGGUGACAACCCGUGAGCCCUAGAGGGGUUAUAUGCACUGGAGAGUAGUAGUGGCAUUGGCUUGAGGUCUGCGGUGCUGACCAAGAGAGCAUUGGUUUUAGAUUGGGUACUUUUGGACUGAUUGUCCCGUUGAUGCAUACGUCUAUAGUAGCAGUUGUUGCAUGCAUACUUACAGUUCUUUCUAUAUACUUGUCUUGCUACUAUAGUUUGAUACCCAGGUAUGUUUUAUAUUCUUCUUACAGUAGCGAUAGUCGUUCUUAUACAUUCUGUUCAUGUAUUAUUGUUGCUACUGUAUUUAGUAUAUCUGCUCAUUACCUUAUACAUCUCUUUCGUUUACUAUUGUUCCUACUGUAUUUCCACUGACCCGUAUUGUUAUAUAGCUCUUCCUGAUCCGGUGAGUACUCCUCGCCUUCUUCGGCUUGCGGUACCCACUGGGAGGGGAGACAUGUUUACAUGUUCUCACCUCCCCCACUAUUUUUCAGGUAUCGUGGGCGGUGAGGGUUGAGACGAGACGUGAGAUACGUAGCGGUCGAUAGAGCUUCCAACCCAGGUUAUUUCGAUUUAGUUAUUACCCCUAUUAUUUCUGUUGAUGUAUAGUUUAGUUGGUUUAUGUGGUUCAGUAUUUCAUUACGUUAAAAUAAGAGGAUUUCUGGAUUUUGUAAAAUAAAAGAUUUUCUACCCCUCGUGGUAGCAUGUUUUAAAAAGAAAAGAUUUCCGUGUGGGAAACAACUUUCAAAAGAGUUUUCUCGUGGCUUCUAUGUUUAAACACUGAAUGGUAAAUAUCUGGUGAAUGGUGACUGAAUGUUGAGUAUUGUAUAUUCAUGUAUUGUGGUUGUAUCCUGGUUAUACUCUGUUUGUACUUUUGUACUUGUGCGAUGCCGUGCAAAUACAGGGAAGACUCUGUCCGUGUGAACAGUGAAUUUCCUGUAUUUGUGGCGGAUCUGGCAUACCCUGGGGUUAGGCUUAAAAAAAAAAAAAAGAAAAAAAGAAAAAAAGAAAAAAGAAGACGCUAUUCCGCUGUGUUUCAAACAAGAAAAAAAGGACCCCGGGGCGUGACAAAGAAUGGUUCAUAUUUUGUAAUUUUUUAAUUUUUUAAUUUUUGUUAUCUUUUUGUUUUUAAAUUGUAUGUGUACUGAAAUUAGGGUUUCGUGGAUUGUAGUGCAGCAUCGCGGGGGAAAGCGAAGAUAGAUUUGGAGUCAAUGAAAGGAAAGAAGUAGUAGGUUCGGAGAGAUCGGUAGGAAAUCAACGUGACUGUGACGAAAAAGGAGCUUAACGUUGAUAAUGGCGGCAAAGGUAAUAUGGAGAUGGGGAUUCGUCUCCCCGAUGUCGGUAGUGCGAUCAAGAUGCGUAUGGAGUAAUAAUUCUAUUGUUGCUUCUUUCAUUACUAUUUUUUAUAAUUUAUUUACUGAAAUUAUAAAUUUUGUUACAUUUGUACGUAUAUCAGUUUCAUCUCUUUUAUUUGUAUAUAUGUUAAUAUAUAUUAUCUUUAUUUAUUAAUGUCUUAUGGCAAUUCAAAAACUUUAAAAUUUUUACUUUGUAAAUCUUUUGUCUUCUAUAGCAUCAGCCCGCCGCAAUGCGCGGGUAACUUCACUAGUGCAGCUUAAUUAUGUGCUGACCGGUGGGGUCCACAUGCCCCUAAUUAAGCAUAAUCUGCCACGUGGACUUAUUAAUAUAAGUUAAUAGAUAUUAUAAAUUGUUAUAUAAAAUAGUAUAAAUAAUUUUUUAUAAAAUAUAUUGAUAUAAAUAAAUUAUUUUAUUUUUAAAAUAUUCAUGAAUAUUUCAAACGUAAAUUUAUAGUAGUUCUAAAUUUUUCCGGAAUAUGAGUGAGGCUGGUAUGCUUCUGGAAGUACGGAGCGUUUCGUAUUUCCAAGCCGUUUUUGAUGUCGUGACUUUUGAAUCGACGAUCUCUCCCGUUAGAUUUGAUCUAGAAUAUUUGAAGUAUCUAAAAAAUAAAUUUUAUAAUUUUUCGAUAUCAUUUGCCUAGUGAUCGAAGGAGCUCAAAAUCAAUCAUUUUAAUGGUCGUGUUAAGUCGUUUGCAAGUUUAACGGUGUAGAAAUAUCUAAAUUCUAUCAAAUUUUGAUAGAAAAUUCGUUAUACUAAUAUAAAAUAAGUUUAAUAUUUUUAAUCUAAAAUUUUAAUGUCAUAUCAUUAUAUUUUGUAAAUUUUUUAUUUUUAGUCGUUAAUUUUGAGUUCUUUAAUUACUAGACAAAUAAUAUUAAAAAAUUAAAAAAUUUAUUUUUUUAGCUACUUUUAAUUACUAUAAAUUAAUUUUAAUGGAGUGGAUCGUACGUUCGAAAGUCCUAACAUUAAAAACCGUGCUUCCUCCCGGAAUAUAAUCCCGUAAAUGAUAAUAGGAGCGUCAUUUGAUUCUCUUACAACAUAAUCUUGUAAUCUCUUCUUCUUCUUCU
rnacentral:lncRNA from 1 species